rnacentral:ncRNA from 2 species
UAUUGCAAAAUAGUUAGAAGUUUUUACGUCUUUUAGGAGGCGUAAAAUAAAGGGAAAUUGGUGAAAGUCCAAUACAGCCCCCGCUACUGUAAUAGUGUUGCUACAACAAUAACCACUGAAUAAUUAUUCGGGAAGGUGUUGUGGCGUAUAGCUUAAGUCAGGAAACCUGCUUCUAUCUUUUGUUUCUA